AUUAGUGGCGAACGGGUGAGUAACACGUGAGUAACCUGCCCUUGACUCUGGGAUAAGCACUGGAAACGGUGUCUAAUACCGGAUACGAACUUCCACCGCAUGGUGAGGAGUUGGAAAGAAUUUUGGUCAAGGAUGGACUCGCGGCCUAUCAGCUAGUUGGUGAGGUAAUGGCUCACCAAGGCGACGACGGGUAGCCGGCCUGAGAGGGUGACCGGCCACACUGGGACUGAGACACGGCCCAGACUCCUACGGGAGGCAGCAGUGGGGAAUAUUGCACAAUGGGCGCAAGCCUGAUGCAGCAACGCCGCGUGAGGGACGAAGGCCUUCGGGUUGUAAACCUCUUUUAGUAGGGAAGAAGCGUAAAAGUGACGGUACCUGCAGAAAAAGCACCGGCUAACUACGUGCCAGCAGCCGCGGUAAUACGUAGGGUGCAAGCGUUAUCCGGAAUUAUUGGGCGUAAAGAGCUCGUAGGCGG
rnacentral:rRNA from 1 species